CAGCCGCCGCGGUAAUACGGAGGAUCCAAGCGUUAUCCGGAAUCAUUGGGUUUAAAGGGUCCGUAGGCGGUCUUGUAAGUCAGUGGUGAAAGCCCAUCGCUCAACGGUGGAACGGCCAUUGAUACUGCAGGACUUGAAUUAUUGGGAAGUAACUAGAAUAUGUAGUGUAGCGGUGAAAUGCUUAGAGAUUACAUGGAAUACCAAUUGCGAAGGCAGGUUACUACCAAUUGAUUGACGCUGAUGGACGAAAGCGUGGGUAGCGAACAGGAUUAGAGACCCGUGUAGUCCCUGUCUCUUAUAC
rnacentral:rRNA from 1 species